rnacentral:rRNA from 1 species
AACGAACGCUGGCGGCAGGCUUAACACAUGCAAGUCGAACGGGCGUAGCAAUACGUCAGUGGCAGACGGGUGAGUAACACGUGGGAACCUUCCUCGUUGUACGGAACAACUCAGGGAAACUUGAGCUAAUACCGUAUACGUCCGAGAGGAGAAAGAUUUAUCGCAAUGAGACGGGCCCGCGUCGGAUUAGGUAGUUGGUGGGGUAACGGCCUACCAAGCCGACGAUCCGUAGCUGAUCUGAGAGGAUGAUCAGCCACACUGGGACUGAGACACGGCCCAGACUCCUACGGGAGGCAGCAGUGGGGAAUCUUGGACAAUGGGCGCAAGCCUGAUCCAGCCAUGCCGCGUGAGUGAAGAAGGCCUUAGGGUUGUAAAGCUCUUUUACCAGGGACGAUAAUGACGGUACCUGGAGAAUAAGCCCCGGCAAGCUUCGUGCCAGCAGCCGCAGUAAAAC